AACUUGAGGUUGUGGCAGUUGUUAAGCUUGAGAUUUGUUUGUUGGUUGAACUCUAGUUUGUGUCGUGUUUGAACUUGAGUUUGUGGUUUUUGUUGAACUUGAGUUUGUGGUUUUUGUUGAACUUGAGUUUGUGUGUUUUUUGAACUUGAGUCUGUGUUGUAUUUGAGCUGGAGGUUGUGGAAAUUGUUAAACUUGAGAUUUGGGUGUUGGUUGAACAUGAGUUGUGUCUGUUUGUUGAACUUGAUUUUUUGUCGUGUUUGAACUUGAUUUUGUGGUGUUUUUGAACUUGAAUUUGCGUGUUUGUUGAACUUGAGUUUGUGUGUUUUUUGAACUUGAGUUUCUGUUGUUUUUGAACUUGAGGUUGUGGAAAUUGUUAAACUUGACAAUAAGUUGUUUUUGGUUGAACUUGAAUUUCUUUGUUUGUUGAACUUGAGUUUGUGUUGUGUUUGAAUUUGAGUUUGUGUUGUUUUUGAAUUUGAGUUUUUAUUAUUGCUUGAACUUGAGAUUUGGGUGUUGGUUGAACUUGAGUUUGUGUGUGUUUAUGAACUUGAGGGUGUGUAAUUUGUUGAACUUGAGGUUGUGGCAAUUGUUAAACUUGAGUUUGUGUGUUUGUUGAACUUGAGUUUGUGUCGUGUUUGAACUUGAGUUUGUGUGAUUGUUGAACUUGAGGUUGUGGAAAUUGUUUAACUUGAGAUUUGGGUGUUGGUUGAACUUGAGUUUGUGUUGUUUUUGAACUUGAGUUUGUGGCGUUUCUGAACUUGAGUUGGUGGUGUUUUUGAACUUGAGUUUCAUGUUUGAACUUGAUUUUGUGGUUUUUGUUUAACUUGAGUUUGUGUCGUGUUUGAACUUCAGUUUGUGGUGUUUUUUAACUUGAGUUUGUGGUUUUUUUGAAGUUGAGAGUGUGGAAUUUUUUGAACUUCAGUUUGUGGCAAUUGUUAAACUUGAGUUUGUGUUUUAGUUGAACCUGAGUUUGUUUCGUGUUUGAACUUGAGUUUGUGGUGUUUUUAAACAUGACUUUGUGGUAUUUUUAAAUUUGAGGGGGUAGAAUUUGUUGAACUUGAGGUUGUGGCAAUUGUUAAACUUGAGAUUUGGGUGUUUUUGAACUUGAGUUUGUGUUUUUUUUUACUUUAGGUUGCAGGGUUUUUGAACUUGAGUUUGUUGAAGUUAAGGUUGUGGCAAUUGUUAAACUUGAGAUUUGGGUGUUGGUUGAACUUGAGUUUUUGCUGUUUUUGAACCUGAGUUUUUGGUGAUUUUGAACUUGAGUUACUGUGUUUGUUGAACUUGAGUUUGUGUUGCAUUUGAACUUGAGUUUGUGUCGUGUUUGAACUUGAGUUUGUGUGUUUUUUGAACUUGAGGUUGUGAAAAUGUUUAAUCUUGAGAAUCAGGUGUUGGUUGAACUUGAGUUUGUGGUUUUUGUUGAACUUGAGUUUGUGUAAAACUUGAGCUUGUGUGUUUUUUGAACUUGAGUCUGUGUUGUAUUUGAGCUGGAGGUUGUGGAAAUUGUUAAACUUGAGAUUUGGGUGUUGGUUGAACAUGAGUGUGUCUGUUUGUUGAACUUGAUUUUUUGUCGUGUUUGAACUUGAUUUUGUGGUGUUUUUGAACUUGAAUUUGCGUGUUUGUUGAACUUGAGUUUGUGUGUUUUUUGAACUUGAGUUUCUGUUGUUUUUGAACUUGAGGUUGUGGAAAUUGUUAAACUUGACAAUAAGUUGUUUUUGGUUGAACUUGAAUUUCUUUGUUUGUUGAACUUGAGUUUGUGUUGUGUUUGAAUUCGAGUUUGUGUUGUUUUUGAAUUUGAGUUUUUAUUAUUGCUUGAACUUGAGAUUUGGGUGUUGGUUGAACUUGAGUUUGUGGUGUUUAUGAACUUGAGGGUGUGUAAUUUGUUGAACUUGAGGUUGUGGCAAUUGUUAAACUUGAGUUUGUGUGUUUGUUGAACUUGAGUUUGUGUCGUGUUUGAACUUGAGUUUGUGUGAUUGUUGAACUUGAGGUUGUGGCAAUUGUUUAACUUGAGAUUUGGGUGUUGGUUGAACUUGAGUUUGUGUUGUUUUUGAACUUGAGUUUGUGGCGUUUCUGAACUUGAGUUGGUGGUGUUUUUGAACUUGAGUUUCAUGUUUGAACUUGAUUUUGUGGUUUUUGUUUAACUUGAGUUUGUGUCGUGUUUGAACUUCAGUUUGUGGUGUUUUUUAACUUGAGUUUGUGGUUUUUUUGAAGUUGAGAGUGUGGAAUUUUUUGAACUUCAGUUUAUGGCAAUUGUUAAACUUGAGUUUGUGUUUUAGUUGAACCUGAGUUUGUUUCGUGUUUGAACUUGAGUUUGUGGUGUUUUUAAACAUGACUUUGUGGUAUUUUUAAAUUUGAAGGGGUAGAAUUUGUUGAACUUGAGGUUGUGGCAAUUGUUAAACUUGAGUUUGUGUGUUUGUUGAACUUGAGUUUGUGUCGUGUUUGAACUUGAGUUUGUGUGUUUUUUGAACUUGAGGUUGUGAAAAUGUUUAAUCUUGAGAAUCAGGUUUUGGUUGAACUUGAGUUUGUGGUUUUUGUUGAACUUGAGUUUGUGUAAAACUUGAGCUUGUGUGUUUUUUGAACUUGAGUCUGUGUUGUAUUUGAGCUGGAGGUUGUGGAAAUUGUUAAACUUGAGAUUUGGGUGUUGGUUGAACAUGAGUGUGUCUGUUUGUUGAACUUGAUUUUUUGUCGUGUUUGAACUUGAUUUUGUGGUGUUUUUGAACUUGAAUUUGCGUGUUUGUUGAACUUGAGUUUGUGGCGUUUCUGAACUUGAGUUGGCGGUGUUUUUGAACUUGAGUUUCAUGUUUGAACUUGAUUUUGUGGUUUUUGUUUAACUUGAGUUUGUGUCGUGUUUGAACUUCAGUUUGUGGUGUUUUUUAACUUGAGUUUGUGGUUUUUUUGAAGUUGAGAGUGUGGAAUUUUUUGAACUUCAGUUUAUGGCAAUUGUUAAACUUGAGUUUGUGUUUUAGUUGAACCUGAGUUUGUUUCGUGUUUGAACUUGAGUUUGUGGUGUUUUUAAACAUGACUUUGUGGUAUUUUUAAAUUUGAAGGGGUAGAAUUUGUUGAACUUGAGGUUGUGGCAAUUGUUAAACUUGAGAUUUGGGUGUUGGUUGAACUUGAGUUUGUGUUGUUUUUGAACUUGAGUUUGUGGCGUUUCUGAACUUGAGUUGGUGGUGUUUUUGAACUUGAGUUUCAUGUUUGAACUUGAUUUUGUGGUUUUUGUUGAACUUGAGUUUGUGUCGGUGUGAACUUCAGUUUGUGGUGUUUUUUAACUUGAGUUUGUGUUUUUUUUGAAGUUGAGAGUGUGGAAUUUUUUGAACUUGAGGUUGUGGCAAUUGUUAAACUUGAGUUUGUGUUUUAGUUGAACUUGAGUUUUUGUCGUGUUUGAACUUGAGUUUUUGUGUUUUUUGAACUUAAGUUUGUGUUGUUUUUGAACAUGAGUUUGUUUCAUGUUUGAACUUGAGAUUGUGGCGUUUGUUGAACUUGAGAUUGUGGCGUUUGUUGAACUUGAGUUUGUGUGUUUGUUGAACUUGAGGGUGUGGCAAUUGUUAAAUUUUAGAUUUGGGGGUUGGUUGAACUUGAUUUUUUGUUGUUUUUGUACUGGAGUUUGUGGUUUUUUUGAAGUUGGGGGUGUGGAAUUUGUUGAAUUUGAGGUUGUGGCGAUUGUUUAACUUGAGUUUGUGUUUUAGUUGAACUUGAGUUUGUGUCAUGUUUGAACUUCAGUUUUUGUGUUUGUUGAACUUUAGUUUAUGUUGUGUUUGAACUUGAGUUUUUGUUGUAUUUGAAAUUGACUUUGUGUGUUUGUUGAACUUGAGUUUGUGUUGUGUUUGAACUUGAGUGUGUGUCAUGUUUGAACUUUAGUUAGUGGUGUUUUUGAACUUGAGUUUGUGUCGUGUUUGCACUUGAGUUUGUGGUGUUUUUGAACUUGAUUUGGUGUGUUUGUUGAACUUGAGUUUGUGGUCUUUUUGAACUCGAGUUGGUGGUGAUUUUGAACUUGAGUUUCGUGUUUGAACUUGAGUUUGUGGUUUUUGUUUAACUUGAGUUUGUGUCGUGUUUGAACUUGAGUUUGUGGUGUUUUUGAACUUGAGUUUGUGUCGUGUUUGCACUUGAGUUUGUGGUGUUUUUGAACUUGAUUUGCUGUGUUUGUUGAACUUGAGUUUUUGGUCUUUUUGAACUUGAGUUGGUGGUGAUUUUGAACUUGAGUUUGUGGUAUUUCUGAAGUUGAGGGUGUGGAAUUUUUUUAACUUGAGGUUGUGGAAAUUGUUAAACUUGUGUGUUAUUUGAACUCUAGUUUGUGCCGUGUUUGAACUUGAGUUUGUGGUGUUUGUUGAACUCUAUUUUUUGUGUUUGUUGAACUUGAGUUUCGUGUUUGAACUUGAGUUUUUGGUUUUUGUUGAACUUGAGUUUGUGUCGUUUUUGAACUUGAGUUUCUGGUUUUUUGAAGUUGAGGGUGUGGAAUUUGUUGAACUUGAUGUUGUGGGAUUUUUUGAACUUGAGUUUGUGUUUAAGUUGAACUUGAGAUUGUGUCGUGUUUGAACUUGAGUUUUUGUGUUUGUUGAACUUAAGUUUGUGUUGUUUUUGAACAUGAGUUUGUUUCAUGUUUGAACUUGACUUUGUGGCUUUUGUUGAACUUGAGUUUGUGUGGUUGUUUAACUUGAGGUUGUGGCAGUUGUUAAGCUUGAGAUUUGGUUGUUGGUUGAACUCUAGUUUGUGUCGUGUUUGAACUUGAGUUUGUGGUUUUUGUUGAACUUGAGUUUGUGUUUUUUGUUGAACUUGAGUUUGUGUGUUUUUUGAACUUGAGUUUCUGUUGUUUUUUAACUUAAUGUUGUUGAAAUCUUUAAACUUGAGAAUUGUGUAUUGUUUGAUCUUUAGUUUGUGUGUUUGUUAAACUUGGGUUUGUGUCGUGUUUGAACUUGAGUUUGUGAUGUUUUUGAACUUGAGGUUGUGGAGAUUUUUUAUCUUGAGAAUUGGGUAUUGGUCGAACUUGAGUUUUUGUUGCUUUUUAACUUGAGUUUGUGACGUGUUUAAACUUAGGUUUUGGUGUGUUUUAACUUGAGUUUGUGUGUUUGUUGAACUUGAGGAUGUGGCAAUAGCUAAACUUAAGAUUUGGGUGUUGGUUGAAUUUGAGUUUGUGUCAUGUCUGAACUUGAGUUCAUGAUGUUUGUUUAACUUUAUUUUGUGUGUUUUUUGAACUUGAGGUUUUGAAAAUUUUUAAACUUGAGAAUCAGGUGUUUGUUGAACUUGAGUUUGUGGUUUUUUUUACUUGAGUUUGUGUCGUGUUUUAACUUGAGUUUGUGUUUUUCUUUAACUUGAGGUUGUGGAAAUUGUUAAACUUGAGAAUCUGGUAUUGGUUGAACUUGAGUCAUUGGUGUUUUUGAACUUGAGUUUGUGUCGUGUUUGAACUUGAGUUUGUGGUGUUUUUGACCUUGAAUUUGCGUGUUUGGUGAACUUGAGUUUGUGUGUUUGUUGCACUUGAGGUUGUGGCAAUUUUUAAACUUGAGACUUGGAUAUUGGUUGACCUUGAGUUUGUGUCGUGUUUCAACUUGAGUCUGUGUUCUUUUUGAACUUGAGCUUGUGGAAUUGUAAAACUUGAGAAUCAGGUGUUGGUUGAACUUGAAUUUGUGUUUUUUUUUAAACUUGAGUUUGUGUUGUGUUUGAACUUGAGUAUGUUGUGUAUUUGAACUUCAGUCUGUGUUGUUUUUGAACUUGAGGUGGUGGAAAUUGUUCAACUUGAGAAAGUGGGUAUUGGUUGAACUUGAGUUUAUAUUGUUUUUGAACUUGUGUUUGUGGUGUGUUUGAACUUGAGAUUGUGUGUUAUUUGAACUUGAGGUUGUUAAAAUUUUUAAACUUGAGAAUCAGGUGUUGGUUGAACUUGAGUUUGUGGUUUUUGUUGAACUUGAGUUUGUGGUGUGUUUGAACUUGAGAUUGUGUGUUAUUUAAACUUGAGGUUGUGAAAAUUUUUAAACUUGACAAUCAGGUGUUGGUUGAACUUGAGUUUGUGUUGUGUUUGAACUUGAUUUUGUGCCGUUUUUUAACUUGAGUUUGUGGUGAUUUUGAACUUGAGUCUGUGUUGUUCUUGAAUUUGUAGUUGUGGAAAUUGUUAAACUUGAGAAUUGGGUCCUGGUUGAACUUGAGUUUUUGGUGUUUUUGAACUUGAGUUUGUGUCGUGUUUGAACUUGAGUUUCAUGUUUGAACUUGAUUUUGUGGUUUUUGUUUAACUUGAGUUUGUGUCGUGUUUGAACUUCAGUUUGUGGUGUUUUUUAACUUGAGUUUGUGGUUUUUUUGAAGUUGAGAGUGUGGGAUUUUUUGAACUUCAGUUUGUGGCAAUUGUUAAACUUGAGUUUGUGUUUUAGUUGAACCUGAGUUUGUUUCGUGUUUGAACUUGAGUUUGUGGUGUUUUUAAACAUGACUUUGUGGUAUUUUUAAAUUUGAGGGGGUAGAAUUUGUUGAACUUGAGGUUGUGGCAAUUGUUAAACUUGAGAUUUGGGUGUUGGUUGAACUUGAGUUUGUGUUGUUUUUGAACUUGAGUUUGUGGCGUUUCUGAACUUGAGUUGGUGGUGUUUUUGAACUUGAGUUUCAUGUUUGAACUUGAUUUUGUGGUUUUUGUUGAACUUGAGUUUGUGUCGGUGUGAACUUGAGUUUGUGGUGUUUUUUAACUUGAGUUUGUGGUUUUUUUGAAGUUGAGAGUGUGGAAUUUGUUGAACUUGAGGUUGUGGCAAUUGUUAAACUUGAGUUUGUGUUUUAGUUGAACUUGAGUUUGUGUCGUGUUUGAACUUGAGUUUUUGUGUUUUUUGAACUUAAGUUUGUGUUGUUUUUGAACAUGAGUUUGUUUCAUGUUUGAACUUGAGAUUGUGGCGUUUGUUGAACUUGAGUUUGUGUGUUUGUUGAACUUGAGGGUGUGGCAAUUGUUAAAUUUUAGAUUUGGGGGUUGGUUGAACUUGAUUUUUUGUUGUUUUUGUACUGGAGUUUGUGGUUUUUUUGAAGUUGGGGGUGUGGAAUUUGUUAAACUUGAGAAUCUGGUAUUGGUUGAACUUGAGUCAUUGGUGUUUUUGAACUUGAGUUUGUGUCGUGUUUGAACUUGAGUUUGUGGUGUUUUUGACCUUGAAUUUGCGUGUUUGGUGAACUUGAGUUUGUGUGUUUGUUGCACUUGAGGUUGUGGCAAUUUUUAAACUUGAGACUUGGAUAUUGGUUGACCUUGAGUUUGUGUCGUGUUUCAACUUGAGUCUGUGUUCUUUUUGAACUUGAGCUUGUGGAAUUGUAAAACUUGAGAAUCAGGUGUUGGUUGAACUUGAAUUUGUGUUUUUUUUUAAACUUGAGUUUGUGUUGUGUUUGAACUUGAGUAUGUUGUGUAUUUGAACUUCAGUCUGUGUUGUUUUUGAACUUGAGGUGGUGGAAAUUGUUCAACUUGAGAAAGUGGGUAUUGGUUGAACUUGAGUUUAUAUUGUUUUUGAACUUGUGUUUGUGGUGUGUUUGAACUUGAGAUUGUGUGUUAUUUGAACUUGAGGUUGUUAAAAUUUUUAAACUUGAGAAUCAGGUGUUGGUUGAACUUGAGUUUGUGGUUUUUGUUGAACUUGAGUUUGUGGUGUGUUUGAACUUGAGAUUGUGUGUUAUUUAAACUUGAGGUUGUGAAAAUUUUUAAACUUGACAAUCAGGUGUUGGUUGAACUUGAGUUUGUGUUGUGUUUGAACUUGAUUUUGUGCCGUUUUUUAACUUGAGUUUGUGGUGAUUUUGAACUUGAGUCUGUGUUGUUCUUGAAUUUGUAGUUGUGGAAAUUGUUAAACUUGAGAAUUGGGUCCUGGUUGAACUUGAGUUUUUGGUGUUUUUGAACUUGAGUUUGUGUCGUGUUUGAACUUGAGUUUCAUGUUUGAACUUGAUUUUGUGGUUUUUGUUUAACUUGAGUUUGUGUCGUGUUUGAACUUCAGUUUGUGGUGUUUUUUAACUUGAGUUUGUGGUUUUUUUGAAGUUGAGAGUGUGGGAUUUUUUGAACUUCAGUUUGUGGCAAUUGUUAAACUUGAGUUUGUGUUUUAGUUGAACCUGAGUUUGUUUCGUGUUUGAACUUGAGUUUGUGGUGUUUUUAAACAUGACUUUGUGGUAUUUUUAAAUUUGAGGGGGUAGAAUUUGUUGAACUUGAGGUUGUGGCAAUUGUUAAACUUGAGAUUUGGGUGUUGGUUGAACUUGAGUUUGUGUUGUUUUUGAACUUGAGUUUGUGGCGUUUCUGAAAUUGAGUUGGUGGUGUUUUUGAACUUGAGUUUCAUGUUUGAACUUGAUUUUGUGGUUUUUGUUGAACUUGAGUUUGUGUCGGUGUGAACUUCAGUUUGUGGUGUUUUUUAACUUGAGUUUGUGGUUUUUUUGAAGUUGAGAGUGUGGAAUUUGUUGAACUUGAGGUUGUGGCAAUUGUUAAACUUGAGUUUGUGUUUUAGUUGAACUUGAGUUUGUGUCGUGUUUGAACUUGAGUUUUUGUGUUUUUUGAACUUAAGUUUGUGUUGUUUUUGAACAUGAGUUUGUUUCAUGUUUGAACUUGAGAUUGUGGCGUUUGUUGAACUUGAGUUUGUGUGUUUGUUGAACUUGAGGGUGUGGCAAUUGUUAAAUUUUAGAUUUGGGGGUUGGUUGAACUUGAUUUUUUGUUGUUUUUGUACUGGAGUUUGUGGUUUUUUUGAAGUUGGGGGUGUGGAAUUUGUUGAAUUUGAGGUUGUGGCGAUUGUUUAACUUGAGUUUGUGUUUUAGUUGAACUUGAGUUUGUGUCAUGUUUGAACUUCAGUUUUUGUGUUUGUUGAACUUUAGUUUAUGUUGUGUUUGAACUUGAGUUUUUGUUGUAUUUGAAAUUGACUUUGUGUGUUUGUUGAACUUGAGUUUGUGUUGUGUUUGAACUUGAGUGUGUGUCAUGUUUGAACUUUAGUUAGUGGUGUUUUCGAACUUGAGUUUGUGUCGUGUUUGCACUUGAGUUUGUGGUGUUUUUGAACUUGAUUUGGUGUGUUUGUUGAACUUGAGUUUGUGGUCUUUUUGAACUCGAGUUGGUGGUGAUUUUGAACUUGAGUUUCGUGUUUGAACUUGAGUUUGUGGUUUUUGUUUAACUUGAGUUUGUGUCGUGUUUGAACUUGAGUUUGUGGUGUUUUUGAACUUGAGUUUCGUGUUUGAACUUGAGUUUGUGGUUUUUGUUUAACUUGAGUUUGUGUCGUGUUUGAACUUGAGUUUGUGGUGUUUUUGAACUUGAGUUUGUGUCGUGUUUGAACUUGAGUUUGUGGUGUUUUUGAACUUGAUUUGCUGUGUUUGUUGAACUUGAGUUUUUGGUCUUUUUGAACUUGAGUUGGUGGUGAUUUUGAACUUGAGUUUGUGGUAUUUCUGAAGUUUAGGGUGUGGAAUUUUUUUAACUUGAGGUUGUGGAAAUUGUUAAACUUGUGUGUUAUUUGAACUCUAGUUUGUGCCGUGUUUGAACUUGAGUUUGUGGUGUUUGUUGAACUCUAUUUUUUGUGUUUGUUGAACUUGAGUUUCGUGUUUGAACUUGAGUUUUUGGUUUUUGUUGAACUUGAGUUUGUGUCGUUUUUGAACUUGAGUUUCUGGUUUUUUGAAGUUGAGGGUGUGGAAUUUGUUGAACUUGAUGUUGUGGGAUUUUUUAAACUUGAGUUUGUGUUUAAGUUGAACUUGAGUUGGUGUCGUGUUUGAACUUGAGUUUUUGUGUUUGUUGAACUUAAGUUUGUGUUGUUUUUAAACAUGAGUUUGUUUCAUGUUUGAACUUGACUUUGUGGCUUUUGUUGAACUUGAGUUUGUGUGGUUGUUUAACUAGAGGUUGUGGCAGUUGUUAAGCUUGAGAUUUGGUUGUUGGUUGAACUCUAGUUUGUGUCGUGUUUGAACUUGAGUUUGUGGUUUUUGUUGAACUUGAGUUUGUGUUUUUUGUUGAACUUGAGUUUGUGUGUUUUUUGAACUUGAGUUUCUGUUGUUUUUUAACUUAAUGUUGUUGAAAUCUUUAAACUUGAGAAUUGUGUAUUGUUUGAUCUUUAGUUUGUGUGUUUGUUAAACUUGGGUUUGUGUCGUGUUUGAACUUGAGUUUGUGAUGUUUUUGAACUUGAGGUUGUGGAGAUUUUUUAUCUUGAGAAUUGGGUAUUGGUCGAACUUGAGUUUUUGUUGCUUUUUAACUUGAGUUUGUGACGUGUUUAAACUUAGGUUUUGGUGUGUUUUAACUUGAGUUUGUGUGUUUGUUGAACUUGAGGAUGUGGCAAUAGCAAAACUUAAGAUUUGGGUGUUGAAUUUGAGUUUGUGUCAUGUCUGAACUUGAGUUCAUGAUGUUUGUUUAACUUUAUUUUGUGUGUUUUUUGAACUUGAGGUUUUGAAAAUUUUUAAACUUGAGAAUCAGGUGUUUGUUGAACUUGAGUUUGUGGUUUUUUUUACUUGAGUUUGUGUCGUGUUUUAACUUGAGUUUGUGUUUUUUUUUAACUUGAGGUUGUGGAAAUUGUUAAACUUGAGAAUCUGGUAUUGGUUGAACUUGAGUCAUUGGUGUUUUUGAACUUGAGUUUGUGUCGUGUUUGAACUUGAGUUUGUGGUGUUUUUGACCUUGAAUUUGCGUGUUUGGUGAACUUGAGUUUGUGUGUUUGUUGCACUUGAGGUUGUGGCAAUUUUUAAACUUGAGACUUGGAUAUUGGUUGACCUUGAGUUUGUGUCGUGUUUCAACUUGAGUCUGUGUUCUUUUUGAACUUGAGCUUGUGGAAUUGUAAAACUUGAGAAUCAGGUGUUGGUUGAACUUGAAUUUGUGUUUUUUUUUAAACUUGAGUUUGUGUUGUGUUUGAACUUGAGUAUGUUGUGUAUUUGAACUUCAGUCUGUGUUGUUUUUGAACUUGAGGUGGUGGAAAUUGUUCAACUUGAGAAAGUGGGUAUUGGUUGAACUUGAGUUUAUAUUGUUUUUGAACUUGUGUUUGUGGUGUGUUUGAACUUGAGAUUCUGUGUUAUUUGAACUUGAGGUUGUUAAAAUUUUUAAACUUGAGAAUCAGGUGUUGGUUGAACUUGAGUUUGUGGUUUUUGUUGAACUUGAGUUUGUGGUGUGUUUGAACUUGAGAUUGUGUGUUAUUUAAACUUGAGGUUGUGAAAUUUUUUAAACUUGACAAUCAGGUGUUGGUUGAACUUGAGUUUGUGUUGUGUUUGAACUUGAUUUUGUGCCGUUUUUUAACUUGAGUUUGUGGUGAUUUUGAACUUGAGUCUGUGUUGUUCUUGAAUUUGAAGUUGUGGAAAUUGUUAAACUUGAGAAUUGGGUCCUGGUUGAACUUGAGUUUUUGGUGUUUUUGAACUUGAGUUUGUGUCGUGUUUGAACUUGAGUUUGUGGUGUUUUUGAACUUUAAUUUGUGUGUUUUGUGAACUUGAGUUUGUGUUUUUUGAACUUGAGUUUCUGUUGUAUUUGAACUUGAGGUUGUGGAUAUUGUUAAACCUUUGAAUCAGGUGUUGGUUGAACUUGAGUUUGUGUGUUUGUUGAACUAAGAUUCGUUGAACUUGAGUUUGUGGCAAUUGCUGAACUUGCGUCUGUGGUGUAGCAAUCAAGACAACCCUGGGUGUGAAACUCACACAUUUCUCACAGGAAAGUUUCCUUAUCUGGUCCCAGGACACAGGAUAUAAAUCUUUCCAGACUUGUUUGCACUUUCAGGUUAAAUGACCCGACCGGAGGUUGACUAAACCUCUGACUCUUCACGAUUGGUCAAUUCGGAGAACAGAGACAGAGUUUUUAUUACCUUUCAAACUGACUCCAUUGCUGACCAUCUAAAUAAACAUUAACGUCUCAACCUAGAUCUCCCAUUUGAGAUUUACCUUCUUAAAGUGUGUGAACAUACAGACCCCAGGAGAAGAGGGGACACUGACCUCCAGACCUCGGUCGUAAAACCCUGCUCGACCAUUCACUGAUAAAGACUGCAUUCCUUUGGUGAAAGAAUACAAAUGACUGAUCCUGACAUCUUAUGCAUUCAGCAAUGUACUAAUCUGUCUAAUCAUGAAAUAUGUGUUAAAAUGAGAUGUUUCCCGUUUUUCUAUGUGCUCCAGAAGCAGAAUUAUUACUCGGACAGAAUAAAUCCUUUAUUCUUAAGUUUCUUUAGACCAACAGCUUUUCAGACUGUUUCAUGAACUUUUAAGAGUUAAAUUUAUUGACUAUGAAUGUUUGAUGUGAUCCUACACUUCAUUCAUAUAUGUUUAGUAUUGAAUUAUUUAUCAUGAAACCAAGCAUUCAAUGAUAUUAAUCAUAGUGAGUGAGUAUCAGAUCUGACUCUUUUACCAGCCAAAAGAAUAAGGUAGAUCAAAUAAUCAGAGACCCCAUGAACCCUCCUCUUUCUCCUCACACACACACGCCAGAGCCACUCCCAGUGUGAGAAGAUAAAACCAGUGAAGUGGGGUUGCUCACUCUCUUGUCUGCUCUCUCUUAUGCCCCUUACUCUUCUCCCCUUUUGGGUCUUCUGUCCACACCCUUCUGUGGUCCUCUUCUUUGUUUUCUCUUAGAACUUUUUCUUACUCUUCUAAGUUUUACACCACGUGUUGAUUCACGUUGAUUUUUCUUUAACAUCGUCUUAGUUCAAGUUUUGAAACUUCAACUUUUUGUGCGCAUAGCAAUUCAAGAUUAAGCUUUUGAUUGAUUUUUCUUUAAUUUCGUGAGGCCAUUUUUGAAAGUUAUCUCUGCUCAUCGAACCUCGUUUUUCUGAGUUAUCUGUGUGAUUUCAAAGUCACCUCUGAACGCAACCCAGCAGGCCCAGGUCAUCCUCUGUGCCAGAGUUUUUGAGUGAGACCAAAGAAGCAUCCAAACGAGCAUCCUCAGGAUCCACAGGCGCCGGCUUUACUUCAGGCCUGAGUGCUACAACUCCUGGCCCAUUCUUCAGCUGACUUCAGUCGUCUUUUGAGCUGAACCGCUCGAAUCGCCGUUAGCCCCGGACCUUCGGAACCUGCUCCAUCUUCUCCAAGGACCAGUCUCACUUAAGUAUGCAAAUCUCCAGAGCUCCAAACAGGGCUGAUGCUGUCUCAUGCGUUCAUAACUCAGAUAUCCACUUAUUCUGGUAAUCUCAGAUUCCUCCAAAUCCACAUCCGAGUUUAUCUUGACACCAAAGUUAGUGUAGGUUAAUAUGUUAGAGCAUAUUCACUCACUAUCAUUAACUUUAGUGCUCCUAGCCUGACUCAGAAUCUUUAUUUAUUCACCUAUUGUUAUAUAUCCUCAUUAUCUUAUCAUCAUUUAUUGCAUGUGUGUUGUACCAUCAUUUAUGCUGUAAUAAACAGAUCAUUAUUUUUCUAAGUUCUUGUCUGUUAGUGUUCUUCCAGAAGUGGAGUCCCUGAAAUGAGAAUUUCGGCUUAAGAUAUGAGAUUGAUUAAUUAAUGAUUGACUUGAUGUUUGAUUUCUGAAUUAAACUUUAGUUUUCUUUAUUUUCCCACCAUUAAGGGUGGGUGGUGCCCCUUUCAACGAGUGCAUAAAUGUCAUAACUUGAGAUUAUUAAUCUUCAGACAUUUCUUAUAAAUUCAAAUCGCUACAGUAUUAUUUUGGUGCGACCGUGUGAGGCUAAUUUCAAACCGUAUUAUUUUGGUGCCGCUGUGUAAGGCUCAUUUCAAAUCGCUACAGUGGUUUUUAAUGAACUUUAAUUGGUGUCAAUUUUUGAACUUGAGUUUGUGUGUUGGUUGAACUUGAGUUUGUGGUGUGUUUGAACUUGAGUUUGUGUGUUGGUUGAACUUGAGAUUGAAGUGUGUUUAAACUUGAGUUUGUGUGUUGGUUGAACUUGAGUUUGUGUCAUGUUUGAACUUGAGUUUUUUGUGUUUUUUGAACUUGAGUUUGUGGCAAUUGUUGAACUUGCGUCUGUGGUUUUUACUGAACUUUAAUCUCUGGCUAUUUUUAACUUGAGUUUUUGGCGUUUGUUGAACUUAAGUUUGUGUCGUGUUUGAACUUGAGUUUGUGGUGUUUUUGAACUUGAUUUUGUGUGUUUGAUGAACUUGAUUUUGUGUUUUGUUUGAACUUGAGUUUGUGGUGUUUUUGAACUUGAGGUUGUGGAAAUUGUUAAACCUGAGAAUCAGGUGUUGGUUGAACUUGAGUUAGUGUGUUUGUUGAACUUGAGUUUGUGUUGUGUUUGAACUUGAGUUUGUGGUGUUUUUGAACUUGAGUUUGUGUGUUUGAUGAACUUGAUUUUGUGUUUUGUUUGAACUUGAGUUUGUGGUGUUUUUGAACUUGAGGUUGUGGAAAUUGUUAAACAUAAGAAUUGGGUAUUGGUUGAGUUUUUUUUGUUUUUGAACUUGAGUUUGUGUCAUGUUUAAACUUGAGUUUGUGCUGUGUUUGAAUUUGAGUUUGUGUUUUUUUUAACUUGAGUUUGUGAAAAUUUUUAAACUUGAGAAUUAGCUGUUAGUUGAACUUGAGUUUGUGGUUUUUGUUGAACUUGAGUUUGUGUCGUGUUUGAACUUGCGUUUGUUGUGUUUUUGAACUUGAGUUUCUGUUGUUUUUGAACUUUAGGUUUUGAAAAUUGUUAAACCCGGGAAUCAGGUGUUGGUUGAACUUGAGUUAGUUUGUUUGUUGAACUUGAGUUUGUGGUGUGUUUGAACUUGAGUUUGUAUGUUGGUUGAACUUGAGUUUGUGUCGUUUUUGAACUUGAGUUUUUUGUGUUUUUGAACUUGAAUUUGCGUGUUUGGUGAACUUGAGUUUGUGUGUUUUUUGAACUUGAGUUUCCGUUGUUUUUGAACUUGAGGUUGUGGAAAUUGUUAAACCUGGGAAUCAGGUGUCGGUUGAACUUGAGUUAGUUUGUUUGUUGAACUUGAGUUUGUGGUGUAUUUGAACUUGAGUUUUUGUGUUUUUUGAACUUGAGUUUGUGGCAAUUGUUGAACUUGCGUCUGUGGUUUUUACUGAACUUUAAUCUCUGGCUAUUUUUAACUUGAGUUUUUGGCGUUUGUUGAACUUUAGUUUGUGUCGUGUUUGAACUUGAGUUUGUGGUGUUUUUGAACUUGAGUUUGUGUGUUUGAUGAACUUGAGUUUGUGCUGUGUUUGAACUUGAGUUUGUGUGUUUGUUGAACUUGAGCUUGUGGCAAUUGUUAAACUUGAGAUUUGGCUGUUGGUUGUGUUUUUUGAACUUGAGGUUGUGAAAAUUUUUAAACUUGAAAAUCAGUUGUUUGUCGAACUCGAGUUUGUAGUUUUUGUUAACUUGAGUUUUGUCAUGUUUUAACUUGAGUUUGUAGUUUUUGUACUUGAUUUUAUGGUGUUUUUGAACUUCAGUUUUUGUCAUGUUUGAACUUGAGUUUGUGUCGUGUUUGAACUUGAGUUUGUGGUGUUUUUGAACUUGAGUUUGUGUGUUUGAUGAACUUGAGUUUGUGCUGUGUUUGAACUUGAGUUUGUGUGUUUGUUGAACUUGAGCUUGUGGCAAUUGUUAAACUUGAGAUUUGGCUGUUGGUUGUGUUUUUUGAACUUGAGGUUGUGAAAAUUUUUAAACUUGAAAAUCAGUUGUUUGUUGAACUCGAGUUUGUGGUUUUUGUUAACUUGAGUUUUGUCAUGUUUUAACUUGAGUUUGGAGUUUUUGUACUUGAUUUUAUGGUGUUUUUGAACUUCAGUUUUUGUCAUGUUUGAACUUCAGUGUGUGUCGUGUUUGAACUUUAGUUAGUGGUGUUUUCGAACUUGAGUUUGUGUUGUGUUUGCACUUGAGUUUGUGGUGUUUUUGAACUUGAUUUGGUGUGUUUGUUGAACUUGAGUUUGUGUGUUUUUUGAACUUGAGUUUCCGUUGUUUUUGAACUUGAGGUUGUGGAAAUUGUUAAACCUGGGAAUCAGGUGUCGGUUGAACUUGAGUUAGUUUGUUUGUUGAACUUGAGUUUGUGGUGUAUUUGAACUUGAGUUUUUGUGUUUUUUGAACUUGAGUUUGUGGCAAUUGUUGAACUUGCGUCUGUGGUUUUUACUGAACUUUAAUCUCUGGCUAUUUUUAACUUGAGUUUUUGGCGUUUGUUGAACUUUAGUUUGUGUCGUGUUUGAACUUGAGUUUGUGGUGUUUUUGAACUUGAGUUUGUGUGUUUGAUGAACUUGAGUUUGUGCUGUGUUUGAACUUGAGUUUGUGUGUUUGUUGAACUUGAGCUUGUGGCAAUUGUUAAACUUGAGAUUUGGCUGUUGGUUGUGUUUUUUGAACUUGAGGUUGUGAAAAUUUUUAAACUUGAAAAUCAGUUGUUUGUUGAACUCGAGUUUGUAGUUUUUGUUAACUUGAGUUUUGUCAUGUUUUAACUUGAGUUUGUAGUUUUUGUACUUGAUUUUAUGGUGUUUUUGAACUUCAGUUUUUGUCAUGUUUGAACUUGAGUUUGUGUCGUGUUUGAACUUGAGUUUGUGGUGUUUUUGAACUUGAGUUUGUGUGUUUGAUGAACUUGAGUUUGUGCUGUGUUUGAACUUGAGUUUGUGUGUUUGUUGAACUUGAGCUUGUGGCAAUUGUUAAACUUGAGAUUUGGCUGUUGGUUGUGUUUUUUGAACUUGAGGUUGUGAAAAUUUUUAAACUUGAAAAUCAGUUGUUUGUUGAACUCGAGUUUGUAGUUUUUGUUAACUUGAGUUUUGUCAUGUUUUAACUUGAGUUUGUAGUUUUUGUACUUGAUUUUAUGGUGUUUUUGAACUUCAGUUUUUGUCAUGUUUGAACUUGAGUUUGUGUCGUGUUUGAACUUGAGUUUGUGGUGUUUUUGAACUUGAGUUUGUGUGUUUGAUGAACUUGAGUUUGUGCUGUGUUUGAACUUGAGUUUGUGUGUUUGUUGAACUUGAGCUUGUGGCAAUUGUUAAACUUGAGAUUUGGCUGUUGGUUGUGUUUUUUGAACUUGAGGUUGUGAAAAUUUUUAAACUUGAAAAUCAGUUGUUUGUUGAACUCGAGUUUGUAGUUUUUGUUAACUUGAGUUUUGUCAUGUUUUAACUUGAGUUUGUAGUUUUUGUACUUGAUUUUAUGGUGUUUUUGAACUUCAGUUUGUGUCGUGUUUGAACUUGAGUGUGUGUGGUGUUUGAACUUUAGUUAGUGGUGUUUUCGAACUUGAGUUUGUGUCGUGUUUGAACUUGAGUUUGUGGUGUUUUUGAACUUGAUUUGGUGUGUUUGUUGAACUUGAGUUUGUUGUCUUUUUGAACUUGAGUUGGUGGUGAUUUUGAACUUGAGUUUCGUGUUAACUUGAGUUUGUGGUUUUUGUUUAACUUGAGUUUGUGUCGUGUUUGAACUUGAGUUUGUGGUGUUUUUGAACUUGAGUUUCGUGUUUGAACUUGAGUUUGUGGUUUUUGUUUAGCUUGAGUUUGUGUCGUGUUUGAACUUGAGUUUGUGGUGUUUUUGAACUUGAGUUUGUGUCGUGUUUGAACUUGAGUUUGUGGUGUUUUUGAACUUGAGUUUGUGUGUUUGUUGAACUUGAGUUUUUGGUCUUUUUGAACUUGAGUUGGUGGUGAUUUUGAACUUGAGUUUGUGGUAUUUCUGAAGUUGAGGGUGUGGAAUUUUUUUAACUUGAGGUUGUGGAAAUUGUUAAACUUGUGUGUUAUUUGAACUCUAGUUUGUGCCGUGUUUGAACUUGAGUUUGUGGUGUUUGUUGAACUCUAUUUUUUGUGUUUGUUGAACUUGAGUUUCGUGUUUGAACUUGAGUUUUUGGUUUUUGUUGAACUUGAGUUUGUGUCGUUUUUGAACUUGAGUUUCUGGUUUUUUGAAGUUGAGGGUGUGGAAUUUGUUGAACUUGAUGUUGUGGGAUUUGUUAAACUUGAGUUUGUGUUUAAGUUGAACUUGAGUUUGUGUCGUGUUUGAACUUGAGUUUUUGUGUUUGUUGAACUUAAGUUUGUGUUGUUUUUGAACAUGAGUUUGUUUCAUGUUUGAACUUGACUUUGUGGCGUUUGUUGAACUUGAGUUUGUGUGGUUGUUUAACUUGAGGUUGUGGCAGUUGUUAAGCUUGAGAUUUGGUUGUUGGUUGAACUCUAGUUUGUGUCGUGUUUGAACUUGAGUUUGUGGUUUUUGUUGAACUUGAGUUUGUGUUUUUUGUUGAACUUGAGUUUGUGUGUUUUUUGAACUUGAGUUUCUGUUGUUUUUGAACUUAGUUUGUGUGUGUUUGUUAAACUUGAGUUUGUGUCGUGUUUGAACUUGAGUUUGUGAUGUUUUUGAACUUGAGGUUGUGGAGAUUUUUUAUCUUGAGAAUUGGGUAUUGGUCGAACUUGAGUUUUUGUUGCUUUUUAACUUGAGUUUGUGACGUGUUUAAACUUAGGUUUUGGUGUGUUUUAACUUGAGUUUGUGUGUUUGUUGAACUUGAGGAUGUGGCAAUAGCUAAACUUCAGAUUUGGGUGUUGGUUGAAUUUGAGUUUGUGUCAUGUCUGAACUUGAGUUCAUGAUGUUUGUUUAACUUUAUUUUGUGUUUUUUGAACUUGAGGUUUUGAAAAUUUUUAAACUUGAGAAUCAGGUGUUUGUUGAACUUGAGUUUGUGGUUUUUUUUUACUUGAGUUUGUGUCGUGUUUUAACUUGAGUUUGUGGUUUUUUUUUAACUUGAGGUUGUGGAAAUUGUUAAACUUGAGAAUCUGGUAUUGGUUGAACUUGAGUCAUUGGUGUUUUUGAACUUGAGUUUGUGUCGUGUUUGAACUUGAGUUUGUGGUGUUUUUGACCUUGAAUUUGCGUGUUUGGUGAACUUGAGUUUGUGUGUUUGUUGCACUUGAGGUUGUGGCAAUUUUUAAACUUGAGACUUGGAUAUUGGUUGACCUUGAGUUUGUGUCGUGUUUCAACUUGAGUCUGUGAUCUUUUUGAACUUGAGCUUGUGGAAUUGUAAAACUUGAGAAUCAGGUGUUGGUUGAACUUGAAUUUGUGUUUUUUUUUAAACUUGAGUUUGUGUUGUGUUUGAACUUGAGUAUGUUGUGUAUUUGAACUUCAGUCUGUGUUGUUUUUGAACUUGAGGUGUUGGAAAUUGUUCAACUUGAGAAAGUGGGUAUUGGUUGAACUUGAGUUUAUACUGUUUUUGAACUUGUGUUUGUGGUGUGUUUGAACUUGAGAUUGUGUGUUAUUUGAACUUGAGGUUGUUAAAAUUUUUAAACUUGAGAAUCAGGUGUUGGUUGAACUUGAGUUUGUGGUUUUUGUUGAACUUGAGUUUGUGGUGUGUUUGAACUUGAGAUUGUGUGUUAUUUAAACUUGAGGUUGUGAAAAUUUUUAAACUUGACAAUAAGGUGUUGGUUGAACUUGAGUUUGUGUUGUGUUUGAACUUGAUUUUGUGCCGUUUUCUAACUUGAGUUUGUGGUGAUUUUGAACUUGAGUCUGUGUUGUUCUUGAAUUUGAAGUUGUGGAAAUUGUUAAACUUGAGAAUUGGGUCCUGGUUGAACUUGAGUUUUUGGUGUUUUUGAACUUGAGUUUGUGUCGUGUUUGAACUUGAGUUUGUGGUGUUUUUGAACUUUAAUUUGCGUGUUUUGUGAACUUGAGUUUGUGUUUUUUGAACUUGAGUUUCUGUUGUAUUUGAACUUGAGGUUGUGGAUAUUGUUAACCUUUGAAUCAGGUGUUUGUUGAACUUGAGUUUGUGUCAUGUUUGAACUUGAGUUUGUUGUGUGUUUGAACUUGAGUUGGUUUGUUUGAUGAACUCCAGGUUGUGGCAAUUGUUUAACUUGAGAUUUGAGUGUUGGUUCAACUUGAGUUUGUGGCGUGUUUGAAGUUGAGUUCUUGUUUGUUGAACUUCAUUUUGUGUGUUUUUUUAAAUUGAGGUUGUGAAAAUUUAUAAACUUGAGAAUCAGGUGUUGGUUGAAAUUGAGUUUGUGUCGUGUUUGAACUUGAGUUUGUGGUGUAUUUGAACUUGAGUUCGUGUGUUUGAUGAACUUGAGUUUGUGUGUUUGUUGAACUUGAGUUUGUGUGUUUGUUGAACUUGAGUUUGUGUUGUGUUUGAACUUGAGUUUGUGGUGUUUUUGAACUUGAGGGUGUGUAAUUUGUUUAACUUGAGGUUGUGGCAAUUGUUAAACUUGAGUUUGUGUGUUUGUUGAACUUGGGUUUGUGGUGUUUGAACUCGAGUAUGUGUGUUUGUUGAAGUUGAGUUUGUGUUGUGUUUGAAUUUGAGUUUGUGGCGUUUGUUGAACUUGAGUUUGUGGCAUUUGUUGAACUUGAGUUUGUGUGUUUGUUGAACUUGAGGUUGUGGCAAUUGUUUAACUUGAGAUUUGGGUGUUGGUUGAACUUGAGUUUGUGUCGUGUUUGAACUUGAGUUUUUUGUGUUUUUGAACUUGAGUUUGUGUUUUUUUUUUACUUUAGGUUGCAGGGUUUUUGAACUUGAGUUUGUUGAAGUUAAGGUUGUGGCAAUUGUUAAACUUGAGAUUUGGGUGUUGGUUGAACUUGAGUUUUUGCUGUUUUUGAACCUGAGUUUUUGGUGAUUUUGAACUUGAGUUACUGUGUUUGUUGAACUUGAGUUUGUGUUGCAUUUGAACUUGAGUUUGUGUCGUGUUUGAACUUGAGUUUGUGUGUUUUUUGAACUUGAGGUUGUGAAAAUGUUUAAUCUUGAGAAUCAGGUGUUGGUUGAACUUGAGUUUGUGGUUUUUGUUGAACUUGAGUUUGUGUAAAACUUGAGCUUGUGUGUUUUUUGAACUUGAGUCUGUGUUGUUUUUGAUCUUGAGGUUGUGGAAAUUGUUAAACUUGAGAUUUGGGUGUUGGUUGAACAUGAGUGUGUCUGUUUGUUGAACUUGAUUUUUUGUCGUGUUUGAACUUGAUUUUGUGGUGUUUUUGAACUUGAAUUUGCGUGUUUGUUGAACUUGAGUUUGUGUGUUUUUUGAACUUGAGUUUCUGUUGUUUUUGAACUUGAGGUUGUGGAAAUUGUUAAACUUGACAAUAAGUUGUUUUUGGUUGAACUUGAAUUUCUUUGUUUGUUGAACUUGAGUUUGUGUUGUGUUUGAAUUUGAGUUUGUGUUGUUUUUGAAUUUGAGUUUUUAUUAUUGCUUGAACUUGAGAUUUGGGUGUUGGUUGAACUUGAGUUUGUGGUGUUUAUGAACUUGAGGGUGUGUAAUUUGUUGAACUUGAGGUUGUGGCAAUUGUUAAACUUGAGUUAGUGUGUUUGUUGAACUUGAAUUUUUUUUUGAACUUGAGUUUGUGUGUUUGUUGAAAUUGAGGUUGUGGCAAUUGUUUAACUUGAGAUUUGGGUGUUGGUUGAACUUGAGUUUGUGUUGUUUUUGAACUUGAGUUUGUGGCGUUUCGGAACUUGAGUUGGUGGUUUUUUUGAACUUGAGUUUCGUGUUUGAACUUGAUUCUGUGGUUUUUGUUGAACUUGAGUUUGUGUCGUGUUUGAACUUCAGUUUGUGGUGUUUUUUAACUUGAGUUUGUGGUUUUUUUGAAGUUGAGAGUGUGGAAUUUUUUGAACUUCAGUUUGUGGCAAUUGUUAAACUUGAGUUUGUGUUUUAGUUGAACCUGAGUUUGUUUCGUGUUUGAACUUGAGUUUGUGGUGUUUUUAAACAUGACUUUGUGGUAUUUUUAAAUUUGAGGGGUAGAAUUUGUUGAACUUGAGGUUGUGGCAAUUGUUAAACUUGAGAUUUGGGUGUUUUUGAACUUGAGUUUGUGUUUUUUUUUUACUUUAGGUUGCAGGGUUUUUGAACUUGAGUUUGUUGAAGUUAAGGUUGUGGCAAUUGUUAAACUUGAGAUUUGGGUGUUGGUUGAACUUGAGUUUUUGCUGUUUUUGAACCUGAGUUUUUGGUGAUUUUGAACUUGAGUUACUGUGUUUGUUGAACUUGAGUUUGUGUUGCAUUUGAACUUGAGUUUGUGUCGUGUUUGAACUUGAGUUUGUGUGUUUUUUGAACUUGAGGUUGUGAAAAUGUUUAAUCUUGAGAAUCAGGUGUUGGUUGAACUUGAGUUUGUGGUUUUUGUUGAACUUGAGUUUGUGUAAAACUUGAGCUUGUGUGUUUUUUGAACUUGAGUCUGUGUUGUAUUUGAGCUGGAGGUUGUGGAAAUUGUUAAACUUGAGAUUUGGGUGUUGGUUGAACAUGAGUGUGUCUGUUUGUUGAACUUGAUUUUUUGUCGUGUUUGAACUUGAUUUUGUGGUGUUUUUGAACUUGAAUUUGCGUGUUUGUUGAACUUGAGUUUGUGUGUUUUUUGAACUUGAGUUUCUGUUGUUUUUGAACUUGAGGUUGUGGAAAUUGUUAAACUUGACAAUAAGUUGUUUUUGGUUGAACUUGAAUUUCUUUGUUUGUUGAACUUGAGUUUGUGUUGUGUUUGAAUUUGAGUUUGUGUUGUUUUUGAAUUUGAGUUUUUAUUAUUGCUUGAACUUGAGAUUUGGGUGUUGGUUGAACUUGAGUUUGUGGUGUUUAUGAACUUGAGGGUGUGUAAUUUGUUGAACUUGAGGUUGUGGCAAUUGUUAAACUUGAGUUUGUGUGUUUGUUGAACUUGAGUUUGUGUCGUGUUUGAACUUGAGUUUGUGUGAUUGUUGAACUUGAGGUUGUGGCAAUUGUUUAACUUGAGAUUUGGGUGUUGGUUGAACUUGAGUUUGUGUUGUUUUUGAACUUGAGUUUGUGGCGUUUCUGAACUUGAGUUGGUGGUGUUUUUGAACUUGAGUUUCAUGUUUGAACUUGAUUUUGUGGUUUUUGUUUAACUUGAGUUUGUGUCGUGUUUGAACUUCAGUUUGUGGUGUUUUUUAACUUGAGUUUGUGGUUUUUUUGAAGUUGAGAGUGUGGAAUUUUUUGAACUUCAGUUUGUGGCAAUUGUUAAACUUGAGUUUGUGUUUUAGUUGAACCUGAGUUUGUUUCGUGUUUGAACUUGAGUUUGUGGUGUUUUUAAACAUGACUUUGUGGUAUUUUUAAAUUUGAGGGGGUAGAAUUUGUUGAACUUGAGGUUGUGGCAAUUGUUAAACUUGAGAUUUGGGUGUUGGUUGAACUUGAGUUUGUGUUGUUUUUGAACUUGAGUUUGUGGCGUUUCUGAACUUGAGUUGGUGGUGUUUUUGAACUUGAGUUUCAUGUUUGAACUUGAUUUUGUGGUUUUUGUUGAACUUGAGUUUGUGUCGGUGUGAACUUGAGUUUGUGGUGUUUUUUAACUUGAGUUUGUGGUUUUUUUGAAGUUGAGAGUGUGGAAUUUGUUGAACUUCAGUUUGUGGCAAUUGUUAAACUUGAGUUUGUGUUUUAGUUGAACCUGAGUUUGUUUCGUGUUUGAACUUGAGUUUGUGGUGUUUUUAAACAUGACUUUGUGGUAUUUUUAAAUUUGAGGGGGUAGAAUUUGUUGAACUUGAGGUUGUGGCAAUUGUUAAACUUGAGAUUUGGGUGUUUUUGAACUUGAGUUUGUGUUUUUUUUUUACUUUAGGUUGCAGGGUUUUUGAACUUGAGUUUGUUGAAGUUAAGGUUGUGGCAAUUGUUAAACUUGAGAUUUGGGUGUUGGUUGAACUUGAGUUUUUGCUGUUUUUGAACCUGAGUUUUUGGUGAUUUUGAACUUGAGUUACUGUGUUUGUUGAACUUGAGUUUGUGUUGCAUUUGAACUUGAGUUUGUGUCGUGUUUGAACUUGAGUUUGUGUGUUUUUUGAACUUGAGGUUGUGAAAAUGUUUAAUCUUGAGAAUCAGGUGUUGGUUGAACUUGAGUUUGUGGUUUUUGUUGAACUUGAGUUUGUGUAAAACUUGAGCUUGUGUGUUUUUUGAACUUGAGUCUGUGUUGUAUUUGAGCUGGAGGUUGUGGAAAUUGUUAAACUUGAGAUUUGGGUGUUGGUUGAACAUGAGUGUGUCUGUUUGUUGAACUUGAUUUUUUGUCGUGUUUGAACUUGAUUUUGUGGUGUUUUUGAACUUGAAUUUGCGUGUUUGUUGAACUUGAGUUUGUGUGUUUUUUGAACUUGAGUUUCUGUUGUUUUUGAACUUGAGGUUGUGGAAAUUGUUAAACUUGACAAUAAGUUGUUUUUGGUUGAACUUGAAUUUCUUUGUUUGUUGAACUUGAGUUUGUGUUGUGUUUGAAUUUGAGUUUGUGUUGUUUUUGAAUUUGAGUUUUUAUUAUUGCUUGAACUUGAGAUUUGGGUGUUGGUUGAACUUGAGUUUGUGGUGUUUAUGAACUUGAGGGUGUGUAAUUUGUUGAACUUGAGGUUGUGGCAAUUGUUAAACUUGAGUUUGUGUGUUUGUUGAACUUGAGUUUGUGUCGUGUUUGAACUUGAGUUUGUGUGAUUGUUGAACUUGAGGUUGUGGCAAUUGUUUAACUUGAGAUUUGGGUGUUGGUUGAACUUGAGUUUGUGUUGUUUUUGAACUUGAGUUUGUGGCGUUUCUGAACUUGAGUUGGUGGUGUUUUUGAACUUGAGUUUCAUGUUUGAACUUGAUUUUGUGGUUUUUGUUUAACUUGAGUUUGUGUCGUGUUUGAACUUCAGUUUGUGGUGUUUUUUAACUUGAGUUUGUGGUUUUUUUGAAGUUGAGAGUGUGGAAUUUUUUGAACUUCAGUUUGUGGCAAUUGUUAAACUUGAGUUUGUGUUUUAGUUGAACCUGAGUUUGUUUCGUGUUUGAACUUGAGUUUGUGGUGUUUUUAAACAUGACUUUGUGGUAUUUUUAAAUUUGAGGGGGUAGAAUUUGUUGAACUUGAGGUUGUGGCAAUUGUUAAACUUGAGAUUUGGGUGUUGGUUGAACUUGAGUUUGUGUUGUUUUUGAACUUGAGUUUGUGGCGUUUCUGAACUUGAGUUGGUGGUGUUUUUGAACUUGAGUUUCAUGUUUGAACUUGAUUUUGUGGUUUUUGUUGAACUUGAGUUUGUGUCGGUGUGAACUUGAGUUUGUGGUGUUUUUUAACUUGAGUUUGUGGUUUUUUUGAAGUUGAGAGUGUGGAAUUUGUUGAACUUCAGUUUGUGGCAAUUGUUAAACUUGAGUUUGUGGUUUUUUUGAACUUGAGUUUGUUUCGUGUUUGAACUUGAGUUUGUGGUGUUUUUAAACAUGACUUUGUGGUAUUUUUAAAUUUGAGGGGGUAGAAUUUGUUGAACUUGAGGUUGUGGCAAUUGUUAAACUUGAGAUUUGGGUGUUUUUGAACUUGAGUUUGUGUUUUUUUUUUACUUUAGGUUGCAGGGUUUUUGAACUUGAGUUUGUUGAAGUUAAGGUUGUGGCAAUUGUUAAACUUGAGAUUUGGGUGUUGGUUGAACUUGAGUUUUUGCUGUUUUUGAACCUGAGUUUUUGGUGAUUUUGAACUUGAGUUACUGUGUUUGUUGAACUUGAGUUUGUGUUGCAUUUGAACUUGAGUUUGUGUCGUGUUUGAACUUGAGUUUGUGUGUUUUUUGAACUUGAGGUUGUGAAAAUGUUUAAUCUUGAGAAUCAGGUGUUGGUUGAACUUGAGUUUGUGGUUUUUGUUGAACUUGAGUUUGUGUAAAACUUGAGCUUGUGUGUUUUUUGAACUUGAGUCUGUGUUGUAUUUGAGCUGGAGGUUGUGGAAAUUGUUAAACUUGAGAUUUGGGUGUUGGUUGAACAUGAGUGUGUCUGUUUGUUGAACUUGAUUUUUUGUCGUGUUUGAACUUGAUUUUGUGGUGUUUUUGAACUUGAAUUUGCGUGUUUGUUGAACUUGAGUUUGUGUGUUUUUUGAACUUGAGUUUCUGUUGUUUUUGAACUUGAGGUUGUGGAAAUUGUUAAACUUGACAAUAAGUUGUUUUUGGUUGAACUUGAAUUUCUUUGUUUGUUGAACUUGAGUUUGUGUUGUGUUUGAAUUUGAGUUUGUGUUGUUUUUGAAUUUGAGUUUUUAUUAUUGCUUGAACUUGAGAUUUGGGUGUUGGUUGAACUUGAGUUUGUGGUGUUUAUGAACUUGAGGGUGUGUAAUUUGUUGAACUUGAGGUUGUGGCAAUUGUUAAACUUGAGUUUGUGUGUUUGUUGAACUUGAGUUUGUGUCGUGUUUGAACUUGAGUUUGUGUGAUUGUUGAACUUGAGGUUGUGGCAAUUGUUUAACUUGAGAUUUGGGUGUUGGUUGAACUUGAGUUUGUGUUGUUUUUGAACUUGAGUUUGUGGCGUUUCUGAACUUGAGUUGGUGGUGUUUUUGAACUUGAGUUUCAUGUUUGAACUUGAUUUUGUGGUUUUUGUUUAACUUGAGUUUGUGUCGUGUUUGAACUUCAGUUUGUGGUGUUUUUUAACUUGAGUUUGUGGUUUUUUUGAAGUUGAGAGUGUGGAAUUUUUUGAACUUCAGUUUGUGGCAAUUGUUAAACUUGAGUUUGUGUUUUAGUUGAACCUGAGUUUGUUUCGUGUUUGAACUUGAGUUUGUGGUGUUUUUAAACAUGACUUUGUGGUAUUUUUAAAUUUGAGGGGGUAGAAUUUGUUGAACUUGAGGUUGUGGCAAUUGUUAAACUUGAGAUUUGGGUGUUGGUUGAACUUGAGUUUGUGUUGUUUUUGAACUUGAGUUUGUGGCGUUUCUGAACUUGAGUUGGUGGUGUUUUUGAACUUGAGUUUCAUGUUUGAACUUGAUUUUGUGGUUUUUGUUGAACUUGAGUUUGUGUCGGUGUGAACUUGAGUUUGUGGUGUUUUUUAACUUGAGUUUGUGGUUUUUUUGAAGUUGAGAGUGUGGAAUUUGUUGAACUUCAGUUUGUGGCAAUUGUUAAACUUGAGUUUGUGUUUUAGUUGAACCUGAGUUUGUUUCGUGUUUGAACUUGAGUUUGUGGUGUUUUUAAACAUGACUUUGUGGUAUUUUUAAAUUUGAGGGGGUAGAAUUUGUUGAACUUGAGGUUGUGGCAAUUGUUAAACUUGAGAUUUGGGUGUUUUUGAACUUGAGUUUGUGUUUUUUUUUUACUUUAGGUUGCAGGGUUUUUGAACUUGAGUUUGUUGAAGUUAAGGUUGUGGCAAUUGUUAAACUUGAGAUUUGGGUGUUGGUUGAACUUGAGUUUUUGCUGUUUUUGAACCUGAGUUUUUGGUGAUUUUGAACUUGAGUUACUGUGUUUGUUGAACUUGAGUUUGUGUUGCAUUUGAACUUGAGUUUGUGUCGUGUUUGAACUUGAGUUUGUGUGUUUUUUGAACUUGAGGUUGUGAAAAUGUUUAAUCUUGAGAAUCAGGUGUUGGUUGAACUUGAGUUUGUGGUUUUUGUUGAACUUGAGUUUGUGUAAAACUUGAGCUUGUGUGUUUUUUGAACUUGAGUCUGUGUUGUAUUUGAGCUGGAGGUUGUGGAAAUUGUUAAACUUGAGAUUUGGGUGUUGGUUGAACAUGAGUGUGUCUGUUUGUUGAACUUGAUUUUUUGUCGUGUUUGAACUUGAUUUUGUGGUGUUUUUGAACUUGAAUUUGCGUGUUUGUUGAACUUGAGUUUGUGUGUUUUUUGAACUUGAGUUUCUGUUGUUUUUGAACUUGAGGUUGUGGAAAUUGUUAAACUUGACAAUAAGUUGUUUUUGGUUGAACUUGAAUUUCUUUGUUUGUUGAACUUGAGUUUGUGUUGUGUUUGAAUUUGAGUUUGUGUUGUUUUUGAAUUUGAGUUUUUAUUAUUGCUUGAACUUGAGAUUUGGGUGUUGGUUGAACUUGAGUUUGUGGUGUUUAUGAACUUGAGGGUGUGUAAUUUGUUGAACUUGAGGUUGUGGCAAUUGUUAAACUUGAGUUUGUGUGUUUGUUGAACUUGAGUUUGUGUCGUGUUUGAACUUGAGUUUGUGUGAUUGUUGAACUUGAGGUUGUGGCAAUUGUUUAACUUGAGAUUUGGGUGUUGGUUGAACUUGAGUUUGUGUUGUUUUUGAACUUGAGUUUGUGGCGUUUCUGAACUUGAGUUGGUGGUGUUUUUGAACUUGAGUUUCAUGUUUGAACUUGAUUUUGUGGUUUUUGUUUAACUUGAGUUUGUGUCGUGUUUGAACUUCAGUUUGUGGUGUUUUUUAACUUGAGUUUGUGGUUUUUUUGAAGUUGAGAGUGUGGAAUUUUUUGAACUUCAGUUUGUGGCAAUUGUUAAACUUGAGUUUGUGUUUUAGUUGAACCUGAGUUUGUUUCGUGUUUGAACUUGAGUUUGUGGUGUUUUUAAACAUGACUUUGUGGUAUUUUUAAAUUUGAGGGGGUAGAAUUUGUUGAACUUGAGGUUGUGGCAAUUGUUAAACUUGAGAUUUGGGUGUUGGUUGAACUUGAGUUUGUGUUGUUUUUGAACUUGAGUUUGUGGCGUUUCUGAACUUGAGUUGGUGGUGUUUUUGAACUUGAGUUUCAUGUUUGAACUUGAUUUUGUGGUUUUUGUUGAACUUGAGUUUGUGUCGGUGUGAACUUGAGUUUGUGGUGUUUUUUAACUUGAGUUUGUGGUUUUUUUGAAGUUGAGAGUGUGGAAUUUGUUGAACUUCAGUUUGUGGCAAUUGUUAAACUUGAGUUUGUGUUUUAGUUGAACCUGAGUUUGUUUCGUGUUUGAACUUGAGUUUGUGGUGUUUUUAAACAUGACUUUGUGGUAUUUUUAAAUUUGAGGGGGUAGAAUUUGUUGAACUUGAGGUUGUGGCAAUUGUUAAACUUGAGAUUUGGGUGUUUUUGAACUUGAGUUUGUGUUUUUUUUUUACUUUAGGUUGCAGGGUUUUUGAACUUGAGUUUGUUGAAGUUAAGGUUGUGGCAAUUGUUAAACUUGAGAUUUGGGUGUUGGUUGAACUUGAGUUUUUGCUGUUUUUGAACCUGAGUUUUUGGUGAUUUUGAACUUGAGUUACUGUGUUUGUUGAACUUGAGUUUGUGUUGCAUUUGAACUUGAGUUUGUGUCGUGUUUGAACUUGAGUUUGUGUGUUUUUUGAACUUGAGGUUGUGAAAAUGUUUAAUCUUGAGAAUCAGGUGUUGGUUGAACUUGAGUUUGUGGUUUUUGUUGAACUUGAGUUUGUGUAAAACUUGAGCUUGUGUGUUUUUUGAACUUGAGUCUGUGUUGUAUUUGAGCUGGAGGUUGUGGAAAUUGUUAAACUUGAGAUUUGGGUGUUGGUUGAACAUGAGUGUGUCUGUUUGUUGAACUUGAUUUUUUGUCGUGUUUGAACUUGAUUUUGUGGUGUUUUUGAACUUGAAUUUGCGUGUUUGUUGAACUUGAGUUUGUGUGUUUUUUGAACUUGAGUUUCUGUUGUUUUUGAACUUGAGGUUGUGGAAAUUGUUAAACUUGACAAUAAGUUGUUUUUGGUUGAACUUGAAUUUCUUUGUUUGUUGAACUUGAGUUUGUGUUGUGUUUGAAUUUGAGUUUGUGUUGUUUUUGAAUUUGAGUUUUUAUUAUUGCUUGAACUUGAGAUUUGGGUGUUGGUUGAACUUGAGUUUGUGGUGUUUAUGAACUUGAGGGUGUGUAAUUUGUUGAACUUGAGGUUGUGGCAAUUGUUAAACUUGAGUUUGUGUGUUUGUUGAACUUGAGUUUGUGUCGUGUUUGAACUUGAGUUUGUGUGAUUGUUGAACUUGAGGUUGUGGCAAUUGUUUAACUUGAGAUUUGGGUGUUGGUUGAACUUGAGUUUGUGUUGUUUUUGAACUUGAGUUUGUGGCGUUUCUGAACUUGAGUUGGUGGUGUUUUUGAACUUGAGUUUCAUGUUUGAACUUGAUUUUGUGGUUUUUGUUUAACUUGAGUUUGUGUCGUGUUUGAACUUCAGUUUGUGGUGUUUUUUAACUUGAGUUUGUGGUUUUUUUGAAGUUGAGAGUGUGGAAUUUUUUGAACUUCAGUUUGUGGCAAUUGUUAAACUUGAGUUUGUGUUUUAGUUGAACCUGAGUUUGUUUCGUGUUUGAACUUGAGUUUGUGGUGUUUUUAAACAUGACUUUGUGGUAUUUUUAAAUUUGAGGGGGUAGAAUUUGUUGAACUUGAGGUUGUGGCAAUUGUUAAACUUGAGAUUUGGGUGUUGGUUGAACUUGAGUUUGUGUUGUUUUUGAACUUGAGUUUGUGGCGUUUCUGAACUUGAGUUGGUGGUGUUUUUGAACUUGAGUUUCAUGUUUGAACUUGAUUUUGUGGUUUUUGUUGAACUUGAGUUUGUGUCGGUGUGAACUUGAGUUUGUGGUGUUUUUUAACUUGAGUUUGUGGUUUUUUUGAAGUUGAGAGUGUGGAAUUUGUUGAACUUGAGGUUGUGGCAAUUGUUAAACUUGAGUUUGUGUUUUAGUUGAACUUGAGUUUGUGUCGUGUUUGAACUUGAGUUUUUGUGUUUUUUGAACUUAAGUUUGUGUUGUUUUGGAACAUGAGUUUGUUUCAUGUUUGAACUUGAGAUUGUGGCGUCUGUUGAACUUGAGUUUGUGUGUUUGUUGAACUUGAGGGUGUGGCAAUUGUUAAACUUUAGAUUUGGGUGUUGGUUGAACUUAGGUUUUUGUUGUUUUUGAACUGGAGUUUGUGGUUUUUUUGAAGUUGGGGGUGUGGAAUUUGUUGAAUUUGAGGUUGUGGCGAUUGUUUAACUUGAGUUUGUGUUUUAGUUGAACUUGAGUUUGUGUCAUGUUUGAACUUCAGUUUUUGUGUUUGUUGAACUUUAGUUUAUGUUGUGUUUGAACUUGAGUUUUUGUUGUAUUUGAAAUUGACUUUGUGUGUUUGUUGAACUUGAGUUUGUGUUGUGUUUGAACUUGAGCGUGUGUCGUGUUUGAACUUGGGUUAGUGGUGUUUUUGAACUUGAGUUUGUGUCGUGUUUGCACUUGAGUUUGUGGUGUUUUUGAACUUGAUUUGGUGUGUUUGUUGAACUUGAGUUUGUGGUCUUUUUGAACUUGAGUUGGUGGUGAUUUUGAACUUGAGUUUCGUGUUUGAACUUGAGUUUGUGGUUUUUGUUUAACUUGAGUUUGUGUCGUGUUUGAACUUGAGUUUGUGGUGUUUUUGAACUUGAGUUUCGUGUUUGAACUUGAGUUUGUGGUUUUUGUUUAACUUGAGUUCGUGUCGUGUUUGAACUUGAGUUUGUGGUGUUUUUGAACUUGAGUUUGUGUCGUGUUUGCACUUGAGUUUGUGGUGUUUUUGAACUUGAUUUGCUGUGUUUGUUGAACUUGAGUUUUUGGUCUUUUUGAACUUGAGUUGGUGGUGAUUUUGAACUUGAGUUUGUGGUAUUUCUGAAGUUGAGGGUGUGGAAUUUUUUUAACUUGAGGUUGUGGAAAUUGUUAAACUUGAGUUUGUGUGUUAUUUGAACUCUAGUUUGUGCCGUGUUUGAACUUGAGUUUGUGGUGUUUGUUGAACUCUAUUAUUUGUGUUUGUUGAACUUGAGUUUCGUGUUUGAACUUGAGUUUUUGGUUUUUGUUGAACUUGAGUUUGUGUCGUUUUUGAACUUGAGUUUCUGGUUUUUUGAAGUUGAGGGUGUGGAAUUUGUUGAACUUGAUGUUGUGGGAUUUUUUAAACUUGAGUUUGUGUUUAAGUUGAACUUGAGUUUGUGUCGUGUUUGAACUUGAGUUUUUGUGUUUGUUGAACUUAAGUUUGUGUUGUUUUUGAACAUGAGUUUGUUUCAUGUUUGAACUUGACUUUGUGGCUUUUGUUGAACUUGAGUUUGUGUGGUUGUUUAACUUGAGGUUGUGGCAGUUGUUAAGCUUGAGAUUUGGUUGUUGGUUGAACUCUAGUUUGUGUCGUGUUUGAACUUGAGUUUGUGGUUUUUGUUGAACUUGAGUUUGUGUUUUUUGUUGAACUUGAGUUUGUGUGUUUUUUGAACUUGAGUUUCUGUUGUUUUUUAACUUAAUGUUGUUGAAAUCUUUAAACUUGAGAAUUGUGUAUUGUUUGAUCUUUAGUUUGUGUGUUUGUUAAACUUGGGUUUGUGUCGUGUUUGAACUUGAGUUUGUGAUGUUUUUGAACUUGAGGUUGUGGAGAUUUUUUAUCUUGAGAAUUGGGUAUUGGUCGAACUUGAGUUUUUGUUGCUUUUUAACUUGAGUUUGUGACGUGUUUAAACUUAGGUUUUGGUGUGUUUUAACUUGAGUUUGUGUGUUUGUUGAACUUGAGGAUGUGGCAAUAGCUAAACUUAAGAUUUGGGUGUUGGUUGAAUUUGAGUUUGUGUCAUGUCUGAACUUGAGUUCAUGAUGUUUGUUUAACUUUAUUUUGUGUGUUUUUUGAACUUGAGGUUUUGAAAAUUUUUAAACUUGAGAAUCAGGUGUUUGUUGAACUUGAGUUUGUGGUUUUUUUUACUUGAGUUUGUGUCGUGUUUUAACUUGAGUUUGUGGUUUUUUUUUAACUUGAGGUUGUGGAAAUUGUUAAACUUGAGAAUCUGGUAUUGGUUGAACUUGAGUCAUUGGUGUUUUUGAACUUGAGUUUGUGUCAUGUUUGAACUUGAGUUUGUGGUGUUUUUGAUCUUGAAUUUGCGUGUUUGGUGAACUUGAGUUUGUGUGUUUGUUGCACUUGAGGUUGUGGCAAUUUUUAAACUUGAGACUUGGAUAUUGGUUGACCUUGAGUUUGUGUCGUGUUUCAACUUGAGUCUGUGUUCUUUUUGAACUUGAGCUUGUGGAAUUGUAAAACUUGAGAAUCAGGUGUUGGUUGAACUUGAAUUUGUGUAUUUUUUUAAACUUGAGUUUGUGUUGUGUUUGAACUUGAGUAUGUUGUGUAUUUGAACUUCAGUCUGUGUUGUUUUUGAACUUGAGGUGGUGGAAAUUGUUCAACUUGAGAAAGUGGGUAUUGGUUGAACUUGAGUUUAUAUUGUUUUUGAACUUGUGUUUGUGGUGUGUUUGAACUUGAGAUUGUGUGUUAUUUGAACUUGAGGUUGUUAAAAUUUUUAAACUUGAGAAUCAGGUGUUGGUUGAACUUGAGUUUGUGGUUUUUGUUGAACUUGAGUUUGUGGUGUGUUUGAACUUGAGAUUGUGUGUUAUUUAAACUUGAGGUUGUGAAAAUUUUUAAACUUGACAAUCAGGUGUUGGUUGAACUUGAGUUUGUGUUGUGUUUGAACUUGAUUUUGUGCCGUUUUUUAACUUGAGUUUGUGGUGAUUUUGAACUUGAGUCUGUGUUGUUCUUGAAUUUGAAGUUGUGGAAAUUGUUAAACUUGAGAAUUGGGUCCUGGUUGAACUUGAGUUUUUGGUGUUUUUGAACUUGAGUUUGUGUCGUGUUUGAACUUGAGUUUGUGGUGUUUUUGAACUUUAAUUUGCGUGUUUUGUAAACUUGAGUUUGUGUUUUUUGAACUUGAGUUUCUGUUGUAUUUGAACUUGAAGUUGUGGAUAUUGUUAAACCUUUGAAUCAGGUGUUGGUUGAACUUGAGUUUGUGUGUUUGUUGAACUAAAAUUCGUUGAACUUGAGUUUGUGGCAAUUGCUGAACUUGCGUCUGUGGUGUAGCAAUCAAGACAACCCUGGGUGUGAAACUCACACAUUUCUCACAGGAAAGUUUCCUUAUCUGGUCCCAGGACACAGGAUAUAAAUCUUUCCAGACUUGUUUGCACUUUCAGGUUACCUAAAUGACCCGACCGGAGGUUGACUAAACCUCUGACUCUUCACGAUUGGUCGAUUCGGAGAACAGAGACAGAGUUUUUAUUACCUUUCAAACUGACUCCAUUGCUGACCAUCUAAAUAAACAUUAACGUCUCAACCUAGAUCUCCCAUUUGAGAUUUACCUUCUUAAAGUGUGUGAACAUACGGACCCCAGGAGAAGGGGGGACACUGACCUCCAGACCUCGGUCGUAAAACCCUGCUCGACCAUUCACUGAUAAAGACUGCAUUCCUUUGGUGAAAGAAUACAAAUGACUGAUCCUGACAUCUUAUGCAUUCAGCAAUGUACUAAUCUGUCUAAUCAUGAAAUAUGUGUUAAAAUGAUAUGUUUCCCGUUUUUCUAUGUGCUCCAGAAGCAGAAUUAUUACUCGGACAGAAUAAAUCCUUUAUUCUUAAGUUUCUUUAGACCAACAGCUUUUCAGACUGUUUCAUGAACUUUUAAGAGUUAAAUUUAUUGACUAUGAAUGUUUGAUGUGAUCCUACACUUCAUUCAUAUAUGUUUAGUAUUGAAUUAUUUAUCAUGAAACCAAGCAUUCAAUGAUAUUAAUCAUAGUGAGUGAGUAUCAGAUCUGACUCUUUUACCAGCCAAAAGAAUAAGGUAGAUCAAAUAAUCAGAGACCCCAUGAACCCUCCUCUUUCUCCUCACACACACACGCCAGAGCCACUCCCAGUGUGAGAAGAUAAAACCAGUGAAGUGGGGUUGCUCACUCUCUUGUCUGCUCUCUCUUAUGCCCCUUACUCUUCUCCCCUUUUGGGUCUUCUGUCCACACCCUUCUGUGGUCCUCUUCUUUGUUUUCUCUUAGAACUUUUUCUUACUCUUCUAAGUUUUACACCACGUGUUGAUUCACGUUGAUUUUUCUUUAACAUCGUCUUAGUUCAAGUUUUGAAACUUCAACUUUUUGUGCGCAUAGCAAUUCAAGAUUAAGCUUUUGAUUGAUUUUUCUUCAUUUUCGUGAGGCCAUUUUUGAAAGUUAUCUCUGCUCAUCGAACCUCGUUUUUCUGAGUUAUCUGUGUGAUUUCAAAGUCACCUCUGAACGCAACCCAGCAGGCCCAGGUCAUCCUCUGUGCCAGAGUUUUUGAGUGAGACCAAAGAAGCAUCCAAACGAGCAUCCUCAGGAUCCACAGGCGCCGGCUUUACUUCAGGCCUGAGUGCUACAACUCCUGGCCCAUUCUUCAGCUGACUUCAGUCGUCUUUUGAGCUGAACCGCUCGAAUCGCCGUUAGCCCCGGACCUUCGGAACCUGCUCCAUCUUCUCCAAGGACCAGUCUCACUUAAGUAUGCAAAUCUCCAGAGCUCCAAACAGGGCUGAUGCUGUCUCAUGCGUUCAUAACUCAGAUAUCCACUUAUUCUGGUAAUCUCAGAUUCCUCCAAAUCCACAUCCGAGUUUAUCUUGACACCAAAGUUAGUGUAGGUUAAUAUGUUAGAGCAUAUUCACUCACUAUCAUUAACUUUAGUGCUCCUAGCCUGACUCAGAAUCUUUAUUUAUUCACCUAUUGUUAUAUAUCCUCAUUAUCUUAUCAUCAUUUAUUGCAUGUGUGUUGUACCAUCAUUUAUGCUGUAAUAAACAGAUCAUUAUUUUUCUAAGUUCUUGUCUGUUAGUGUUCUUCCAGAAGUGGAGUCCCUGAAAUGAGAAUUUCGGCUUAAGAUAUGAGAUUGAUUAAUUAAUGAUUGACUUGAUGUUUGAUUUCUGAAUUAAACUUUAGUUUUCUUUAUUUUCCCACCAUUAAGGGUGGGUGGUGCCCCUUUCAACGAGUGCAUAAAUGUCAUAACUUGAGAUUAUUAAUCUUCAGACAUUUCUUAUAAAUUCAAAUCGCUACAGUAUUAUUUUGGUGCGACCGUGUGAGGCUAAUUUCAAACCGUAUUAUUUUGGUGCCGCUGUGUAAGGCUCAUUUCAAAUCGCUACAGUGGUUUUUAAUGAACUUUAAUUGGUGUCAAUUUUUGAACUUGAGUUUGUGUGUUGGUUGAACUUGAGUUUGUGGUGUGUUUGAACUUGAGUUUGUGUGUUGGUUGAACUUGAGAUUGAAGUGUGUUUAAACUUGAGUUUGUGUGUUGGUUGAACUUGAGUUUGUGUCAUGUUUGAACUUGAGUUUUUUGUGUUUUUUGAACUUGAGUUUGUGGCAAUUGUUGAACUUGCGUCUGUGGUUUUUACUGAACUUUAAUCUCUGGCUAUUUUUAACUUGAGUUUUUGGCGUUUGUUGAACUUAAGUUUGUGUCGUGUUUGAACUUGAGUUUGUGGUGUUUUUGAAAUUGAGUUUGUAUCAUGUUUGAACUUGAGUUUUUGUUGUGUUUGAACUUGAGUUUGUGGUGUUUUUGAACUUGAGUUUGUGUGUUUGAUGAACUUGAUUUUGUGUUUUGUUUGAACUUGAGUUUGUGGUGUUUUUGAACUUGAGGUUGUGGAAAUCGUUAAACAUAAGAAUUGGGUAUUGGUUGAACUUGAGUUUUUUUGUUUUUGAACUUGAGUUUGUGUCAUGUUUAAACUUGAGUUCGUGCUGUGUUUGAAUUUGAGUUUGUUUUUUUUUAACUUGAGGUUGUGAAAAUUUUUAAACUUGAGUAUUAGCUGUUAGUUGAACUUGAGUUUGUGGUUUUUGUUGAACUUGAGUUUGUGUCGUGUUUGAACUUGAGUUUGUGUCGUUUUUGAACUUGAGUUUCUGUUGUUUUUGAACUUCAGGUUUUGAAAAUUGUUAAACCCGGGAAUCAGGUGUUGGUUGAACUUGAGUUAGUUUGUUUGUUGAACUUGAGUUUGUGGUGUGUUUGAACUUGAGUUUGUGUGUUGGUUGAACUUGAGUUUGUGUCGUUUUUGAACUUGAGUUUUGUUGUUUUUGAACUUGAGGUUGUGGAAAUUGUUAAACCUGAGAAUCAGGUGUUGGUUGAACUUGAGUUAGUGUGUUUGUUGAACUUGAGUUUGUGUCGUGUUUGAACUUGAGUUUGUGGUGUUUUUGAAAUUGAGUUUGUAUCAUGUUUGAACUUGAGUUUUUGUUGUGUUUGAACUUGAGUUUGUGGUGUUUUUGAACUUGAGUUUUUGUGUUUGAUGAACUUGAUUUUGUGUUUUGUUUGAACUUGAGUUUGUGGUGUUUUUGAACUUGAGGUUGUGGAAAUCGUUAAACAUAAGAAUUGGGUAUUGGUUGAACUUGAGUUUUUUUUGUUUUUGAACUUGAGUUUGUGUCAUGUUUAAACUUGAGUUUGUGCUGUGUUUGAAUUUGAGUUUGUGUUUUUUUUAACUUGAGUUUGAGAAAAUUUUUAAACUUGCGAAUUAGCUGUUAGUUGAACUUGAGUUUGUGGUUUUUGUUGAACUUGAGUUUGUGUCGUGUUUGAACUUGCGUUUGUUGUGUUUUUGAACUUGAGUUUCUGUUGUUUUUGAACUUCAGGUUUUGAAAAUUGUUAAACCUGGGAAUCAGGUGUUGGUUGAACUUGAGUUAGUUUGUUUUUUGAACUUGAGUUUGUGUCGUGUUUGAACUUGAGUUUGUGGUGUUUUUGAAAUUGAGUUUGUAUCAUGUUUGAACUUGAGUUUUUGUUGUGUUUGAACUUGAGUUUGUGGUGUUUUUGAACUUGAGUUUUUGUGUUUGAUGAACUUGAUUUUGUGUUUUGUUUGAACUUGAGUUUGUGGUGUUUUUGAACUUGAGGUUGUGGAAAUCGUUAAACAUAAGAAUUGGGUAUUGGUUGAACUUGAGUUUUUUUUGUUUUUGAACUUGAGUUUGUGUCAUGUUUAAACUUGAGUUUGUGCUGUGUUUGAAUUUGAGUUUGUGUUUUUUUUAACUUGAGUUUGAGAAAAUUUUUAAACUUGCGAAUUAGCUGUUAGUUGAACUUGAGUUUGUGGUUUUUGUUGAACUUGAGUUUGUGUCGUGUUUGAACUUGCGUUUGUUGUGUUUUUGAACUUGAGUUUCUGUUGUUUUUGAACUUCAGGUUUUGAAAAUUGUUAAACCUGGGAAUCAGGUGUUGGUUGAACUUGAGUUAGUUUGUUUGUUGAACUUGAGUUUGUGGUGUGUUUGAACUUGAGUUUGUGUGUUGGUUGAACUUGAGUUUGUGUCGUUUUUGAACUUGAGUUUUUUGUGUUUUUGAACUUGAAUUUGCGUGUUUGGUGAACUUGAGUUUGUGUGUUUUUUGAACUUGAGUUUCUGUUGUUUUUGAACUUGAGGUUAUGGAAAUUGUUAAACUUGAGAAUCAGGUGUUGGUUGAACUUGAGUUAGUGUGUUUGUUGAACUUGAGUUUGUGUUGUGUUUGUUUUGUGUAACUCGAAAAGGUCUGAAACUUGUUCCCACAAAGGUUUUGGACAGUGAUUUUAACCCUAACACCAAAAGCCUUAAACCUUUCCCUAGCCCCAUAACCAAAUACCCGGGUUUUACCUUCAGGAGCCCGGACACCCCAAAUAUAUAUUUUUUAUUUUUCGUUAUUUUUUGAUCUAACUAACUCCAAAAGGUCUGAAACUUAUUCCCACAAAGGUUUUGGACAGUGAUUUUAACCCUAACGCCAAAAACCUUAAACCUUACCCUAGCCCCAUAACCUAAUAUGGGGUUAAUAUGGGGUAUUACCUUCAGGAAGCCCGAACACCCCAAAUAUAUAUUUUUUAUUUUACAUUUUUUUGGUGUAACUAACUCCAAAAGGUCUGAAACGUGUUCCCACAAAGGUUUGGACAGUGAUUUCAACCCUAACGCCAAAAACCUUAAACCUUUCCCUAGCCCGAAAACAUAAUACCCGGGUAUUACCUUCAGGAGGCCCGAACACCCCAAAUAUUUUUUUUUCAUUUUUCAUUUCUUUUUUGGUCUAACUAACUCCAAAAGUUUGGAAAAGAGUUCCUAAAAAGGUUUUGGACAGUGAUUUUAACCCUAACACCAAAAAAUGUAAACCUUACCCUAGCCCCAUAACCUAAUACCUGGGUAUUACCUUAAGGAAGCCCGAACAUCCGAAAUUUUUUUUAUUUUAUUUUACAUUUUUUUUUGGUGUAACUAACUCCAAAAGGUUGGAAAAGAGUUCCUACAAAGGUUUUGGACAGUGAUUUUAACCCUGAUGCCAAAAACCUUAAACCUUUCCAAAGCCCCAUACCCUAAUACCUGGGUAUUACCUUCAGGAAGCCCAAACACCCCAAAUAUUUUUUUUCAUUUUACAUUUUUUUUGGUGUAACUGACUCCAAAAGGUUGGAAAAGAGUUCCUACAAAGUUUUUGGACAGUAAUUUUAACCCUAACGCCAAAAACCUUUAACCUUACCAUAGCCCCAUGACCUAAUUCCCGGGUCUUACCUUCAGGAAGCCCGAACACCCCAAAUAUUUAGUUUUUAUUAUUAUUUUUUUUUUUUUGGUGUAACCAAAACCAAAAGGUCUGAAACAGAGUUCUAAAAAGGUUUUGGACAGUGAUUUUUUACCCUAACGCCAAAUACCUCAAACCUUACCCUAGCCCCAUAACCUAAUACCCGGGUAUUACCUUCAGGAAUCCUGAACAACCCAAAUAUUUUUUUUUCAUUUUACGUUAUUUUUUGGUCUAACUUACUCCAAAAGGUCUGAAACAUGUUCCUUAAAAGGUUUUGGACACUGAUUUUAACUCUAGCGCCAAAAACCUUGAACCUUUCCAUAGCCCCACAACCUAAUACCCGGGUAUUACCUUCAGGAAGCCCGAAAACCCCAAAUAUUUUUUUUCAUUUCACUUUAUUUGGUGUAACUGACUCCAAAAGGUUUGAAACAUGUUCCAUAAAAAAUAUUGGACAGUGAUUUUAAACCUCACGCCAAAAACCUUAAACCUUACCCUAGCCCCAUAACCUAAUACAGGUAUUACCUUCAGGAAGCCCGAAAACCCCAAAUAUUUUUUUUUCAUUUUACAUUUUUUUUGAUCUAACUGACUCCAAAAGGUCUAAAACAUGUUCCUAAAAAGGUUUUGGACAGUGAUUUUAACCCUUACGCCAUAAACCUUAAACCUUACCCUAUCCCUUUAACCUAAAACCUUAAACGUUACCCUAGCCCAAAAACCUAAUACCCAGGUAUUUCCUUCAGGAAGCCCGAAAACCCCAAAUAUUUUUUUUUCAUUUUACAUUUUUUGUUGGUCAAACUAACUCCAAAAGGUUGGGAAAGAGUUCCUACAAAGGUUUUGGACAGUGACUUUAACCCUAACACCAAAAACCUUAAACCUUACCAUAGCCCCAUAACCUAAUACCGGGGUAUUACCUUCAGGAGGCCCGAACACCCCAAAUAUUUUUUUUUCAUUUUUCAUUUUUUUUUGGUGUAACUAGCUCCAAAAGGUCUAAAACAUGUUCUUAAAAAGGUUUUGGACACGGAUUUCCACCCUUACGCCAAAAACCUUAAACCUUACCCUAGCCCCAAAACCUAAUAACCAGGUAUUACCUUCAGUAAGCCCGAAAACCCCAAAUAUUUUUUUUUCAUUUUUCAUUGUUUUUUGGUGGAACUAACUCCAAAAGGUCUGAAACAUGUUCCUAAAAAGGUUUUGGACACGGAUUUUAACUCUAACGCCAAAAACCUUAAACCUUUCCAAAGCCCCAUACCCUUAUAACCAGGUAUAACCUUCAGGAAGCCCGAACACCCCAAAUAUAUUUUUUUCAUUUUUCAUUUUUUUUUGGUCGAAAUAACUCCAAAAGGUUGGAAAAUAGUUCCUAAAAAGGUUUUGGACGGUGAUUUUAACCCUAACGCCAAAAACCUUAAACCUUGCCCUAGCCCAAAAAUCUUAAUACCCGGGUAUUACCUUCAGGAAAUUCGAACACCCCGAAUAUAUUUUUUUUAUUUUUCUUUUUUUUUGGUCUAACUAACUCCAAAAGGUCUGAAACAUGUUCCUAAAAAGGUUUUGGACACGGAUUUUAACCCUAACAACAAAAACCUCAAACCUUGACCUAGCCCCAAAACCUAAUACCCGGGUAUUACCUCCAGGAAGCCCGAAAACCCCAAAUAUAUAAAUUUUUUUUUCUUUUUUUUUUUGUCUAACUAACUCCAAAAGGUUGGAAAAGAGUUCCUACAAAGGUUUUGAACAGUGAUUUUAACCCUAACACCAAAAACCUUACCCUAGCCCCAUAACCUAAUACCCGGGUCUUACCUUCAGAAAGCCCAAAAAACCCAUAUAAUGUUUUUUUCAUUUUUCAUUAUUCUUUGGUCUAACUCCAAAAGGUUGGAAAAGAGUUCCUACAAAGGUUUUGGACAGUGAUUUUAACCCUCACGCAAAAAAACCUUAAACCUAACCAAAGCCCCAUUACCUAAUAGUAUUAGGUUUUAGGGCUAGGGUAAGGUUUAAGGUUUUUGGCGAUAGGGUAAUACCUAGUAGGAUUACGUUCAGGAAUCCAGAAAACCCCAAAUAUAUUUUUUUCAUUUUACAUUUUUUUUCGGUGUAACCAACUCCAAAAGGUCUGAAACAUGUUCCUAAAAAUUUUUUGGACAGUGAUUCUAACCUAAUACCCGGGUAUUACCUUCAGGAAGCCCGAAAACCCCAAAUAUUUUUUUUCAUUUUUCAUUUUUUUGGUCUUACUAACUCCAAAAGCUUGGAAAAGAGUUCCUACAAAGGUUUUGGACAAUGAUUUUAACCCUAACGCCAAAAGCCUUAAACCUUCCCUAGCCCCAUAACCUCAUUCCUGUAUUCCCUUCAGGAAGCCUUAACACCCCAAACAUUUUUUUUUCAUUUAUCUUUUUUUUUUUGUCUAACUUAUUCCCAAAGGUUGGAAAAGAGUUCCUACAAAGGUUUUUGACAGUGAUUUUUACCCUCACGCCAAAAAACCUUAAACCUUACCCUAGCCCCAUAACCUAAUACCCGGGUAUUACCUUCAGGAAGCCCGAACACCCCAAAUAUAUAUUUUUUAUUUUUCUUUUUGUUUUGGUCUAACUUGCUCUCAAAGGUUGGAAAAGAGUUCCUACAAAGGUUUUGGACAUUGAUUUUAACCCUAACGCCAAAAACCUUAAACCUUACCCUAGCCCAGAAACGUAGUAUUACCUUCAGGAAGCCCGAACACCCAAAAAAAAUUUUUUUCAUUUUACUUUUUUUUGGUGUAACCAACUCCAAAAGGUCUGAAACAUGUUCCUAAAAAGGUUUUGGACAGUGAUUUUAACCCUUACGCCAAAAACCUUAAACCUUACCCUAGCCCCAUAACCUAAUACCUGGGUGUUACCUUCAGGAAGCCCGAACACCCCAAAUAUUUUUUUUUUCAUUUAUCUUUUUUUUUUGUCUAACUAACUCCAAAAGGUUGGAAAAGACUUCCUACAAAGGUUUUGGACAGUGAUUUUAACCCUCACGCCGAAAACCUUAAACCUUAACCUAGCCCCAUAACCUAAUACCCGGGUAUUACCUUCAGGAAGCCCGAACACCCCAAAUAUAUUUUUUUUCUUUUUCUUUUUUUUUUGGUCAAACUAGCUCCAAAAGGUCUGAAACAUGUUUCUUAAAAAAUAUUGGACAGUGAUUUUAACCCUUACGCCAAAAACCUUAAACCUAAUCCUAGCCCCAUAACCUAAUACUUAAACCUGAAUGGUAUUACCUUCAGGAAGCCCGAACACCCCAAAUAUUUUUUUUUUCAUUUUACAUUUUUUUUGGUGUAACCAACUCCAAAAGGUCUGAAUCUUGUUCCUUAAAAGGUUUUGGACAGUGAUUUUAACCCUAACGCCAAAAACCUUAAACCUAACCCUAGCCCCAAAACCUAAUACCCGGGUAUUACCUUCAGGAAGCCCGAACACCCCAAAUAUUUUUUUUCAUUUUUCGUUUUUUUUUUGGUCUAACUAACUCCAAAAGGUUGGAAAACAGUUCCUACAAAGGUUUUGGACAGUGAUUUUAACCCUAACACCAAAAACCCUAAACCUUGCCCUAGCCCCAAAACCUAAUACCCGGGUAUUACCUUCAGGAAGCCCGAACACCCCAAAUAUUUUUUUUUGCAUUUUACAUUUUUUUUUGGUGUAACCAACUCCAAAAGGUCUGAAACAUGUUCCUAAAAAGGUUUUGGACACUGAUUUUAACUCUAACGCCAAAAACCUUAAACCUUACCCUAGCCCCAUAACCUAAUACCCGGGUAUUACCUGCAGGAAGCCCGAACACCCCAAAUAUUUUUUUUUGCAUUUUACAUUUUUUUU